rnacentral:rRNA from 1 species
UACGUAGGGUGCAAGCGUUGUCCGGAAUUAUUGGGCGUAAAGAGCUCGUAGGCGGUUCGUCGCGUCGGCUGUGAAAACCCGGAGCUCAACUGCGGGCCUGCAGUCGAUACGGGCGGGCUAGAGUUCGGUAGGGGAGACUGGAAUUCCUGGUGUAGCGGUGAAAUGCGUAGAUAUCUGGAGGAACACCGGUGGCGAAGGCGGCAUCCUGGACCAACACUGACGCUGAGGAGCGAAAGCCAGGGGAGCAAACGGG